GAGUUUGAUCUUGGCUCAGGAUGAACGUUGGCGGCGUGCCUAACACAUGCAAGUCGAACGGAAGUAGCAAUACUUCAGUGGCGCACGGGUGAGUAACACGUAGCUUACCCUCCUCCGAGAGUGGGAUAACGGCUCGAAAGAGCUGCUAAUACCGCAUAAGCUCACGGGUUAUAGAGACCUGAGAGAAAAGGGGCAACUCGCUUGGAGACGGGGCUGCGGCCCAUCAGCUAGAUGGUGAGGUAACGGCUUACCAUGGCGACGACGGGUAGGGGACCUGAGAGGGUGACCCCCCACACUGGGACUGAGACACGGCCCAGACUCCUACGGGAGGCAGCAGUGGGGAAUAUUGGACAAUGGGCGCAAGCCUGAUCCAGCCAUGCCGCGUGUGUGAAGAAGGCCUUCGGGUUGUAAAG
rnacentral:rRNA from 1 species